rnacentral:rRNA from 1 species
UAGGGAAUCUUCGGCAAUGGGGGGAACCCUGACCGAGCAACGCCGCGUGAGUGAAGAAGGUUUUCGGAUCGUAAAGCUCUGUUGUUAAGGAAGAACGAGUGUGAGAAUGGAAAGUUCAUGCUGUGACGGUACUUAACCAGAAAGGGACGGCUAACUACGUGCCAGCAGCCACGGUAAUACGUAGGUCCCGAGCGUUGUCCGGAUUUAUUGGGCGUAAAGCGAGCGCAGGCGGUUAGAAAAGUCUGAAGUGAAAGGCAGUGGCUCAACCAUUGUAGGCUUUGGAAACGGAUUAACUUGAGUGCAGAAGGGGGGAGUGGAAUUCCAUGUGAAGCGGUGAAAUGCGUAGAUGUAUGGGGGAACACCGGUAGCGAAAGCGGCUCUCUGGUCUGUAACUGACGCUGAGGCUCGAAAGCGUGGGGAGCGAACAGG